UUAGGACCUUCCAGGUGCAUAUCAAUGUCAGGCAUGGAGAUCUUGGGGGCUUUGAUGUUCAUCUCUGGCAUCUUGAACUUAGGACCUUUCAACUUUCCCUCAGGCCCUUCAAUGUUAAUAUCAGGGCCUUCAAUGUCCACCUUGGGUCCUGAGACAUCAAUGUCAGCCUUGGGCAGAUUGACAUCCACUUCAGGGCCCUCUCCU